rnacentral:rRNA from 1 species
UACGUAGGGUGCGAGCGUUGUCCGGAAUUAUUGGGCGUAAAGAGCUCGUAGGCGGUCUGUCGCGUCGGUCGUGAAAACUCGGGGCUCAACUCCGAGCUUGCAGUCGAUACGGGCAGGCUAGAGUUCGGCAGGGGAGACUGGAAUUCCUGGUGUAGCGGUGAAAUGCGCAGAUAUCAGGAGGAACACCGGUGGCGAAGGCGGGUCUCUGGGCCGAUACUGACACUGAGGAGCGAAAGCGUGGGGAGCGAACAGG